rnacentral:tRNA from 1 species
GCGGAUGUAGUAUAUCGGCUAGUAUCCGAGCCUUCCAAGUUCGGGGGCUGGGUUCGACUCCCAGCAUCCGCA